GCCACCGCACUAGGCCAGUAGUCUUGACAUCUACUGCAAUAGUCCUAUAUAAAAUUUUUCUACCAAUUGAAAAAAAUCUCAGAAUUUUUUUUUCUUUAACAUACAUCUGUUUUUUUUUUCUUCUGCCAAAUAUAGAAUGCUUAGGUCAAACCCAUCAUAGGAAUUCUCAUACUCUUUGAAACAUGGUAUGGAAAUAAAUGAAAUACGUCCAUUCAAUAUUUGUGUCCUGAGUGGCAUAUCUGUGAAAGGUCCCAUGUGUACUCAUCACUUGGGAAUACAAACACCUUCAAGCUUGUGGACAUAAGAAAAUAAUACACAAAAAAAUAAAAAGCAUGAAGAAGAGAUCACAUAGACUCAAUAUCAGUAAAGAUUUUAUGAAGAAUUGGGAGAAUGUAUAGGAUAACAAAAGGGAGAGGUAGAGUAGAUUUCGCACAAAAAAUAAAAUUGCAGUGAUUCAAAACUGAGAUAUGUGAGUAGUAGAAUUUAACUAAAAUAUAGAAUUAGUGGGUGUUGGCGAUGGCACAUAAGAUCAAAAAGGUACAGCAUGCCUUUGCAAUAGAAUACACUGGAUGACUACAUGAGGAAUAUACCUCUGUCUCAGAGAAGAGUGGAUUUGAAUAUAAUAGAUAAGAUGUAAAUCUCUGUCAGUUACCGAAACAUUCCAGAAUUUCAUCUUUGUGCAUCUCAGUUUCCUCAUUCAUAGCAAAACCAAGUAUUUUCAAAGUUUAUUUCUGUGGUAAAACAAUAUGGUAAUGAUUGUGAGGUGCUUUGUAAAUUGCAAAACAUUAUUAUGCAACUGUAAAGGAUUAUUACUUCUUAAUUCACCAGGGAGCUCUUGAAGAAUUUUGAGAUGCUAAAGAGUAUAAUCUUAACCUUAUUUUAGAAAUCCAAGUUAUCUCCCUCUAACUUCGUCCAUUUAUUGGUCAAAGUUAGAGGGAGAUAGCACGGGAAUAAACAAGUCUAUUAUGUUGGUUCAAAUGAAAGAUAAGGAGAUUUGAAACACAGCUACAUGCAGCAUGGAGACAGAUUGUAUUGAAUGUAAGCAACUGAUUAGAAAUGAAACCAAAAGGAGAGAAAAAAAAAAUGACUCCAGGUUCCAACUUUGAUGAGAAUGUUGUCAUUAACAGAGAGAGAAACCCAUGAGAGAAAGGAUUUAGAAGAAAGAUAAUGAGUUUGACUUUGAAAGUACAGAUCUAAGGAUGUCACUGAGUUACAUAGGUAAAAAUGCCCAACAGAUACUUGAAAAUAAAGCCCAGGAGAGGACUCUGGGAUAUAGAUUUGAGAGUCAUUUAUUAGGCAUUUCUGGAAAGAUGAAUAAUAAUGUUUUGCAAUUUACAAAGCACCUCACAACCAUUAUCAUAUUGUUUUACCACAGAAAUAAACUUUGAAAAUAUUUGGUUUUGCUAUGAAUGAGGAAACAGAUGCACAAAGAUGAAAUUCUGGAAAGGUAAAAUUCAAAUGAUUAAUCAUUUAUUAGUAUCAGUUGACACAAUAGAAAUGAAUAUAGACAGUUGAAGGAUGAUGAGAAGAGGGCCUCAAUGAAGUGUGUGCAGUGAAGAGUUUGGCCUCACCCAAAUAUAAGUCUGGAGUUUGUCCUCAGCUGCUAGAUGGCAGCCUCUAAACACUUAGAAUUUUCAGAGUUAUGGAAAUAUCUUCAUUAUCUAAGGUGGACCCCUGAAACUAUACCUAUUUUAUGCUAAUAAGAUGAUUCUUGGUGAGGAUUAUCACACUCAGUAGUCUUAGAGUGGGGCCUGGCCACACCAUAAAGACCAACCAUAUAGUUUAGGAUAGCAACUAUGAACCACAUUAUAUCAUCUUAAUCUAAAAGUUGGUGGGGAGCUGCAGAUGGAGUUCAAAUAUGUAGGUAAUUAAUUAAUUAAUCAUGCCUAAAUAUGAAGCCUCAAUAAACUCUCUGGACAGCUCAGCUCAGCUCAGCCGAGCUUCUCUGGUUAGCAGUCCUCCAUGUGUAUGGUCACAUAUUGAUGCUGGAAAACAACAGAAGCUUUGCCUUUGGAACCCUCCCAGACUCUGACUUUGGUGUCUCUUCCUUUGGCUGGUUCUAAUUUGUAAUCUUUCUUUGUAAUAAGCAUGACUGUGAGCAUAAUAGCUUUCAAUGAGUUCUGUGAGUCUCCCUAGUGAAUUGUCAAACUUGAGAGUGGUUUUGGGAAAUCCCUGUACUUACAGUUGGGAUCAUAAGUCUUGGGAAACUUGUCUGUCCAGAGGACACUGCCCUAAAGCACUCAGUUUGGCCUACUUGGAAUAGAGUUUUUUGAGCAAAGUAACUAGUAAAAGAGGAAGGAAGAUAACAUUUAGGUAAGAAAACAUCAAGGAGAAGGCCAACCAAACUCAUAUAUAAAAGGUAUGAAAAGGUUUGUUACUAGUUUAAGUAUGACAGAGAAGGAAAGUUUAAGGAAUAAAAAGAAGAACAAAGUGAAGGAGAAGAAUAUAGCUUUUGAAUUUAGCAGAGUAAAGAUGGUUUCUGACUUACAAUGACUUGCCUUACAAUUUUUUGACUUUACAAUGGUACAAAAGUGAUAUGUAUUCAGUAGAAACUACUACAAGUGAUUCAUACAACCAUUUUGUUUUCACUUUCAGUAGAGUGUCCAAUAAAAUACAUGAGAUAUUCAACACUUUAUUAUAACAUAGGCCUUGUGAUAGAUAAUUUUGCCCAACUAUAGGUUACUAUAAGUGUGCUAAGCACACUUAAGGUAGGCUAGACUAAGUCCAGACAUUUGGUAGGUUAGGUGUUCUCUUUUCUCUGCAACCUCAACGAUGUCUGUUAUUUCUUGAUCUUUUAAUAACAGCCACUCUGUCUGGUCUGAGAUAGUAUCUCAUUGUGGUUUUGAUUCACAUUUCUCUAAUGAUUAGUGAUGUUGAGCAUUUUUUCAUAUGUACAAGGGCUACAGAAUCAGUCUUACCCCAAACCUCAGUGUCAGGCAAUUUACCCAUGUAACAAACUUACACGUGUACCCCUGAAUCUAAAAUAAGAGUUAAAAUAAUUUUUAAAAAGAAUAAUAGUAGUCAAGAAUGCCUCCAGGUUACCUCCACCUUCACUCUAUUCCCAAACACUUAACUCUGUUUUCAGCAUAAUUUCAGAGCAUUCUUACAAGACUUUGUGGGAAUUACUUAGCAGUUACUCAAAGACCACUCAGAAGACAUUUGCUGAUGAAAAUGAGGUUUGUCUUCCAAAUAUCACCACUUUAAUGAGAAGUAUAAUUGUUUAAAGGCCAGAAGAACAGGGUUCUGGUAUUCAUUUUGGGAUAACUGGGAGUUGAAUAAAAGUAAAGCAAAAUGUUGAUUUACUCUUUAUCUUUCUUACUCUCUGACAGAUGAAAAUGCCAGAGGAUGUAGUGAAUUGUAUUAACCAAAAAUAAAACCAAUUCCUUCUCGAGUUUAAUUCCAGAAUAUAAUGUCAUCCUUCCCUGAACACCACUUUUCUCAAGGAGCAGAAAUGCUCAACUGUGUUACAGUGGAACUUCAUCCAAGAUCAUCUUCUAUUAAGCUUUACAAAUUGCUUCAAAAAGCAGUGGGUAACCAUGCUAGUUGUGUGUAAAAUAUUUAAAAUAACUUAUCUUCGAGUGUUGUUGGGGCUGCAGAUUUGGAAUUUGGCAGAUCGUCUGUGUUUAGUGCUGAGCUAUUUUGGGAUUUCUUCAAACUUGAGCAAUAAAUAAGCUUCAAAUGAAAUAGGCUUUCGAUGUGACAGUGUUUACAGGAAACAUUAUGCUGUUACGAACUUCCCUUAGAAUCAACCCAUUUGUGAAACACCACAUUAAUAAGAGCAGUAUCUUUGGAGAUUGGAGAGUCCACCAAGGAUGCCCACUGGCUCCCUACAAAGUUUUUUAUGUGAGGACUCGGUCUCAGAUAUGGCUACUGGGAUUCUGUUCAAACUGAGUGAAGACAUCAUCAUCUUUCUUUGAGAUCUUCCUUGCUUUCUGGCCAAAGAAGUUAUUCCCUGACCCGACUUUCCAAAGAGUACUAGUUCCUUUUAGCAGUGAUUAGAAACCUGAUCUGAGUACUACUGUGUGUGCUUGUGACUAGUGUGGUUUUAUUGUUUCUAUGUCCUUUCAGCGAGCAGAUCUACAAUGAGGGAUACAUCUAAACAAAACUCCAUAUUAAUAAGUCCAGUUGAAAUCUAACAACAUAGGGUUCUUUCGCAUUCUCUUGCAUUCCAUAUUUGUAUAUUCGUUCACCCAUGGUGGCAACCCUGGCUAUUAGAAAUAUAAUUGUAUUUAUUUUGCUGUAUCCUACAAUAAAACAAAAAAAUUAAGAAUUACUAUACCAACAUCAUGAUAAAAAUACACAUACUAAGUAAAUCUGUUAUGUAAACUACAAGUGUGUUUGUAGCAUUUUUGUUUUUACACUAUAGCCUACUAAGUGUGCAAUUAGACUUCUUGCUCACUGGUUUCUGUUUACUUUUAAUUUUAGUAUUUACUCUUGUUUCCCUUCCUUUUUAAUUUUAUUUUUAAAAUUUAUAUAAGAUUUAUACUUUUUAAAAUCGGAGUUCAAAAUGUUUUCUUAGAGCAGUUUAAUUCCCAGCUUUAGUCUCUCUUCUUUAUUUCCACUCUACCAUUUAGGUACCAUUUUCUACCGUUUCUGGUUUAUCUUUCCUGAAUUAAUUUCUGAAACCUAAGGGAGCAUACAAACACACAACAGAAUCACACACAUCAUCAACACACACAGACACAUACACUCACCUGGGCUUCAUUUAAUGAAAACAACAUCUCUGGGGAAGGGUUCUAUGAAUACUUUAUCGAAAAAAACAAACUCCCUGGAUUAUUUUAAUUUGUAGCCAAGUCUGAGGAAAAAUAUUUUAAACAUUUUCAAAUCCGCCUUUUGUAAUGGCUGGUACUGGCUGUUCCCCUUCUUCGUGAGAUUCCCACCACUUCCACUUCAGCAAAUAUUCUUCCUGCUUGGCAGAAUUCUAUUCAUGGCAGGAGUUUUCUCAUUAUUUCCUAGCCUCGCAGUGAUCAAACUGUCAACAAGAAAAGUCAAGAAUGUAUUCAAUUCACCACUUUUACUUGAAUAAGACAACCAUAUACAUUCGUUGCAGUUUUCAACAGUGAGCAUUUAUUAAAGGAAAGAGUACUUGAAUAAAUGUAUAAAUGGGUGCAAACACGAAUUAAUCAGUAAAUAGACAUGUGGCAGUUCUCUUUUAUGUUUCAUGAGCCAAUCAUUUAUUCCUUCCACCUCCCCAAAUAACUUAUUGUAAACAGCUACAAUGAUGUCACUUCUGCUCUUUGAUUCUAACACCCUUUCCCAUAAGUUCUCCAAGGAUGUUUUGCUGUUAGCUCUAUAACAUUGGAAAAUAUCACUUAACUCUUCUGAGCUUCAUUUUCUAUAAAGUUGGGCAUAAUAUUGAUGUCCUGACAGGUCUUUUUGAAUAUGUAUAUUAAAAUAUAUAUAUCGUCUUUUAAUAAGUUUUAAGGUAAUACAUCCAUAUAAUAAUACUGAAAAUCACAGAGCCGUGAUACCUGAAAGAUUUCAUUUAUGUCUCAGUAUUAGAACAUAACUAUACUCCUUUAGUUACUAAUGCUUCAUGGAUUGGUAUGUAGAGAUCUAACGCCGAUAGUAUUAUUUCUUGGUUAUUGUUAGAAUUUUCUAUAGUUUUCUUACCUUACAUCGUAAUAUUCUGCUUUGCAGUAUUUCCAUUGAUUUUCUUAGAAAUAAUAAUAAUAAUGUUGAAAGUUGAGCACUGAAACUUGAAAUGACAGUCAGUGAUGUCAUAUUUUUAAAUUCUAUUGUCAUGAAAAAUUCUCAAAAUAAAAAUAACAGUUGUGAAAAAUAA